rnacentral:rRNA from 1 species
UACGUAGGGUGCAAGCGUUGUCCGGAAUUAUUGGGCGUAAAGAGCUCGUAGGCGGUUUGUUGCGUCGGCUGUGAAAUCCCGAGGCUCAACCUCGGGUCUGCAGUCGAUACGAGCAAACUAGAGUGUUGCAGGGGAGACUGGAAUUCCUGGUGUAGCGGUGAAAUGCGCAGAUAUCAGGAGGAACACCGGUGGCGAAGGCAGCUCGCUGGGACGGUACUGACGCUAAGGCGCGAAAGCGUGGGGAGCGAACAGG